rnacentral:lncRNA from 1 species
CAAUGGUAACAGCUAUGGAUUUCAGAGGCAACUCCAUUUCACACUGACAGAUUUUGCGGGUUUAAAUUUGCAGAGACGAACGAGAAUGAUAUAUAUAGUCAUCAAGCGAAUGAGAAAAUCGUUUUCCUUUGCAUGUGUUUUUGAUUAGGUGUUUUCUGGAUCGAUACGUGUCAAGCUUGCAUGUGACUGUGAACUGUGGACCCUGUUCUAGAACUAGACUGUUUGGGAUCGAUUAAUUUUAAAAAAUAAACUAAAAUUCAUAUGGUAAGAAUUUUUAAGUAUAAAUGUUUGUAAAAUAAAAUCUAAACCUACAUUUGAAUGGCAAGCAUCUAGAAACAAGAUCUGUAUUCUGUCAUAUGACGCCAGGAAAUAUACUGCCUUUUCGUAAAUGCAUAAUCAAGCAGCAUGAUGUGCUCUGCUUUCACACGAAUGUAGGUCCACUUUGUCUUGGCUUUUACGGAAUUUCAAUUCUAUUGUUAUGGGGAUUAAUGGCUCUGCUUAAUUUUGGGGUCUGCUUUCAGAGAAAUACAAAACGAUUAGAACUCUGCUUUGUGAUACAGACAAGACGCAAUGGAUCUAUCAUCUUCAUCUCUACUCCUAUUUCAUUUAUCUUUAUCAUGAAUAUAAUCCACGAUUCUCAAACAUGAUAAACAAGGUCACAAACUAUGGUGUACCAAUCGGCUGUUUUUUUUUUAACUUAAUUAAUUUAAUUUAAAUCAUUGAGUCCAUUUAUUUUUUCAACUUAAUGAAAAUUUUCAAUCACUAAAUCAUUCAGUUACCAAGCUAAUUUUUAAAUUUUUUGUUUAAUCUAAAAAGUCUAAAUAAUAACAUUAAAAGAUUUUCUCUAAAAUAUCUCUAUCUAAUUAAUUAAUUUUUACCCUUACCUAAAUAAAUUUUAAUAAUUGAUGUUAUUACCUACCUCUAUAACUUGUGAUAAUAUAGUGCACUAGUAGACUACUAUUAUUUUUUAUUUUUUAUUUUCUUCAAAUUAAAAUUAUUUAUCUUCAUAAUUUUUCAUAAUUAUUUUUCAUAUAAAAACAUCAUAAACUAUAGUAAAAUUGAUUAAUAUAUACUAAUUUAAAAUAUUAAAAAGAGUAUAGACAUUAUGAGACAGUAUCAUUAAGCAGCUACUGGAAUAAGAUGUUAUGAGCCUAAAUUUUAUAAGGUCAAAGUUGAAUUUGGCCGAUCCUUUAACAAAAAAAACUAAACAAGAGUUUAGUAGAGAUCACAUCAAGGGAGAUGGGACUAGUGGCUAGAUCAUAAGACAAGAGUGAUGGUAACCCUACCUAUGUGAUUGGAGAUCCAUGAAAAAUGUUCAAUAAGUUACUUGUUGUUUUGGAAUGCUCUCAAUAUUAUGUAAUCUUAUUUUUAUUCAAUAAAGAUUUUCUUUAUUUAUAAGUCCUCCUUAUAAUAAGAUAAUGUUUAUCGCAGUGAGUUAGGUUAAGCAAUUGAGCUUUUCAUGAACUCCAUAACUCAAUUUUUAUGUAUGAUGGUGUGUUAAAACUGCAUGACAUACUUGAUGGAGGUUCACCUAUGUUAGUGUGGAAUUGGAUAAGUUCCUAUGAGAGUUAAACAUGCUUCUCUAGAGCGCUCAUGAAUACAAGGGCACAGGGCUACUAAAGUGCCAAACCGCAGAACAACAAAAUAUUGAGAGAGUUUAAUGUGAGCUUCUAGUCAUCUGCCUUACAAAAAAAAGAAUAUUGGUUUAUAGAAAUUAUCAGUUUCACCAAGUUCCUAUGACACAUGGUUAGUUAUUCAAUGGCCAGUUCAUAGCCCCAAAGGCACCAGUUCAUAUGCAUUAAACUCUAUGGACAAUGAUGAAGUCGAAAGAAAUUGAGUAUUUUGAAAUAUGUGGAGGAUUGUUAAAGAUUGAGUUGGUAUUUUAAAAUACCAAUAUUCCACAUUACUUAAACAAAAGAGUACAAGUUGGUUUUUAUAUAGAAAACAAAUAUAGUGUAGUAACAAGCCUAUGAAGAGGAGGCUCAUAUGCAUGAAACCAAGCGCGAGAGAGGAGUUCAUUCCAUGACUCUAUUAAUUGGUUGCUCGUACCCAAUAACUCACUCGCAAUGGGGACCCUCCUUCCCCCCAUGGGGUGUCAUGUAUGAGUGUGGGCUUGGCCAUCUAUUAUGUUUUGUCCUUUGUUUUAAUUUUAUUUAUUUUAAUUCGAAUUAGAUUGAGAAUUCAAUUCCUAAUGGAAUUAGGAUUUAAUAAACAUAAUUAUAAUUCAGAUUUAGAGAGGAAAAGGGGGUUAGGGCUUGUAUCUAUUUAAAGAGCCGAAUAUAUCACACUAUGGUCAUCCAAAAACUUACUCUCUUGCUCUCUGUUCUUUGUUGCUCUUUGUUUUCCUUUCUUUCGUCAUUGUACGUUUUGCUAUUCUGAACUAUCAAGUUGAAGUGCAACAUCACAAUCGUAAUAGUAAUUGUAUCAUGGAGAUCAAACUACUUUUGUUAGCCCUUCUUGCACCGAAAUACUGCAUCUUGAGAUCAAGCUUAUUCCAACAUUUUUGUUGUUUCCAUGUUCUUCAAUUUCUCUAAACUUGGUCUCCAUCAGUAUGCCAAGUCAUCAUUUCCAGCUUCCUCUGCUUUCAUUGCCUUCUCUCUGUUUUUAAUUAUUCCCAUCAGUGAAGCUCGUAUUUGCUUGUCAAUUUCCUUCAUUCUCUUAUUUCUUUCUGAAGGUACCAGCCAGCCUAUAAGAAAUAGGAACAAUAGAAAAUACAAGAACGUAUUGAAUGCACUAAUCAAAUCCUACUUAUCGAUUUCAACAAUAUGAUUAACAUCUUAGAUUAACCAUAUGACGACAUGGAUCGAAGUUAUAAGCCCAGGAUGGGUCAAACCUACUUCCAUAUUUUUGGAAGAAAAUCAACUCCUACAUUGCUAAUUACUCCCAGAAGCCGUCCUCAGAAUCACAUCACUAGUUAAUUUUGCAAGAGAAGGCCGUGCACCCAACUCACACGAUCCUCCUUUUGACGUCAGGUUUUCCCACUUUGUAAUUAUUUCACUACAACUUUGCUAGAACGCAGGCAACAUAAGUUGAAACGAAACAGAAAGAAAUUAAAAUGAAGACAUUUAUGUAAACAAAUGAAGAAAUCAAUUAAUAACCUAGAGCUUCUCUUGGUGGAACUGGUUGAUAAGAUUUCUAUAGUAACCCACUUGUCACCUCAUGGCUAACCAAUGCAAGUGCCAAUAAUCUGGCAAGUGGAUCUGAAUUGAUUUUUUGAAAAUCAUUGAUCUUGGUAGAUAUCUCUUUGAUUUGAUCGGGCUUCACAAUAUUCAACCUUCGCGUCGGACCGAACCACAUAAAUGAAUUAUUGCCUGCAUCAAUUUUUAAGCUCUGGUUAUUUUGCUCGUGGCAUAACUUACCACAGCUUGAGUUACACCCAUUGGCCCAUGAUAUCAAGAAAAUUAUUGGUCUCGCAAACAACAUAGCUCAAAUGUUUCAACACCAUACAUAUUUUCUUCAUUAAUUAAAAAAAAUUACGUUUUAACCCAUAAAAAUAUUCAAGAAUUAUCUUGAUGUGUAUGAUCUCUACUAACUACAUUUAUAACGAGAAGUCUAUUUGGAUUUCUUCCACUUAUAUCAGCUCUACAAUUGUGCAAACUGAAUUAGUUUUAUUAAUAAUGGCACAAUCCAGUCGAGAUAUUAUCGUCUAAACUUUCUUUCAAGUCACCAAACAGAAGCCUGCAAGAAUUGCCUUUGAAACCUUUGCUGUCUCAGGAAUUUCUCCAGCUUCUUGGGACCCUCAGCCACACCCAGUUCAGCACUCUCCAUGCCCAGUUCCCACUGUUACGAUAACAAUGGUCAGGUCUAUGGAUUUCAGCGGCAAUUCCAUUUCACACAGAGAGAUUUUUGAAGUGUUCAAAGAAAUGAGACUUGCCUACGUGGUAGAUUAGUUGAAAGUGAAUUAAAAACAUUUUUUCGUUUGCAUAUGUUCAAUGGCUUUUCUUAGUUUCGAAUUUUCCUGUACCAUUAUAUUGUCUCCAGCUAAUGGUACACGUGUCAAUAUCAAUCAUGCAUGUGGUGAUCUUUGUGGACUUGUCACUCAUUGACUGUCUUCUAUAGAACUAGAGAAUGUAAGUUCGGUUAAUUAUUUGAAAAAAAAAAAUUGUUUACCCCUAAUACAUUAAUUAUUCUCAAAAUAUCCUCAAACUAUAAUAAACAUUAAUCAAUCCACAAUUACUAUUAAGAAGGUAAAAAAAGAAAAAAGAAAUCAUCAAUCGUUCCCAUUUGAUCUUAUUUUUUGAAUGAUCAUUAGGGUAAAUUAAGGUUUACAAGAAUUUAGAGAUAACUGAAAUUAACAAAAAAUAAAUAAAAUAAAACUCAUCUAAAUAAAUUAUGCAUGGUGGGCCUAUUUGCCCUUUAAAACAUACUCAAAAUAUACUAUUAUUUAUGUAUACUCAUUUACUUAUUUUAUAAAAAGGGUGGGGCUAUUUGCACUCUUAACAUUACUAGAAUAUUCUUAUUUUAAUAAAUUGUUUUAUUACAAAAAUACUUAUUAUAUGAAUUUCCAAUAUGGAAUCUCUCUUAUAAACUAACAUAAUAAAAUUACUCCAAACACUCACUAUUCAAUAUAUGAUUAUCUUACCAUAAACCCGAAAAAUUUUAAAUCCAAUAUCUUAAACAAUAUUUAGUUAAACAAAGAGCAAAUCAAUACUUUUAAUAUAUUUUGAGCAUAUUUUUACUCUUUGAUUUUCAGAAGACAAAAAAAAAAUUGCUGUCUUCUUCCUCUUCCUCAUCCUUCUUUUAGUCUUCUUUUUCUUCGGCUAUUUCUUCUUCCUCUUUUUUUCCUUUUUUUUCUUUCUUUUUUUUUUUUUUUUGGCUAGAUAGCAAAAAAAUUUUCAAUUGUUUGGUUAAUAAAUUGGGUGCAAAAACUAAUAUUGAAUACAUUCUUUAAUAGACAAAAGCUAAUAAAGAAUAUGUUUAGAAUAUAAUUUGAUUCCUUUGUGUAUAUACUAAGUUGUUAUUAAUUCAUUUUGGAUGCUCAAUAGUUUAAUUGGUGUUUUGAGUAAAUUAGUUUAACUAGUUUAAUUAAGGUCCUUUUUUUUUUAUUUUAAAGAGUGUAGAAAGUAAAAUUUAAUUAUUUUAAAUUCAACACAUUAUUGUACAAAGUAAUAAAGUGUUCAAAGUAAUUUUUGGAGUAUAAAUAACCUAAUCUUUUGAAAAAUGGUGGGACUAUUUGAAUCCACCAUAAUACUCAUUUGACCCAUGUUUUAGAAAACAUUUUUACUACUAAAUUGUCUCUAAUGUAAAUCACUAUUAAAGACAUAAUAGUAUGUAUAUACUUCAUGCUCUCAUCUUUUAAUCAUGUCUAAAUUUGUUCAAUGUGGACAUAAGAGAAAAUUUGUUUCAUACUUUUAAAUUUUUUUAAAAAUUUUCUUCAACUCCUUUGGUCGAAAACAAAUCCAAUCGAGUUGUUGGAUACUUGGAUUUGGUCAAAACUAUCUCACCAGUAAAGCUCAUUGGAAUCCAAUAAACCAAUAAGUUCUAGUCAAGCUAUUCUAGAUUCAAGCAAUAAAAUUUAGGAAAAUUAUCAGUCGUAUACUCUUAAAUGACAUCCGUAUCAAACGUGUGUGAACACUUUUGAAAUGUAUCACUCGUUUACCCUAAGUUGACAAAACACUUCUGCCGUCCGCCAAUCCGUUAACUUCCGUUUGCAAGCGCGAACAUCAUAAGGGCAAUUUAGUCUUUUAAGAUUGACGAAACUUUGAUUUAAAAAAAGGACAUGUCAUCCCAUUUACCUAGUACAAAAUGACAUGUCAUAUGAUAUAUAUUGAUAAAAAUAACAUGUCAUCCCAUUUAUCGGAUAAUUGUAAAUAAUUGCUAAAAAAAACUACUUUACAACCGAAUAUACGCCUUUAAAAUUUAACCUAAUUUUGAAGAUCUACUCCUCCAAGCUCCAACUGGAAAGUUUUAUGGUAUAAUAUGUAUAAUUGUGAAUAAUAUGUUGUUAAUAAUUUUUUAUGGUAUAAUAUGGAUUUUUUUUAUGAAUAAUUGUUAAUAAUAUGUACCAUUAAUAAUUCAUUUUUUUUAAUCAAAAAAAUGUAUUGUUAAUAACAAAAUAAAAAAAAUUGUGUAUUAAAAAUUUACGUUAAUUUUUGGGGUAAAUUUAUCUUUUUACCUUAUAUUUUGAGUUUCAAGGGCAAAAUAGCCAAUUUGUCACAAUUCUGUUAACUUUCUAAUGGAAGUUAACGGAUUGGUGGAUGGCAGAAGUGUUUUGUCAACUUAGGAUAUACGAGUAAUACACUUGAAAAGUGUUCUCAACUUAGGGUAUACGAGUAAUACACUUGAAAAGUGUUCUCAACUUAGGGUAUACGAGUAAUACACUUGAAAAGUGUUCACACACGUUUGAUACGGGUGUCAUUUAAGGGUAUAUGGCUGAUAAUUUCCCUAAAAUUUAUUUCAUUAAAUUUGCACUAUAUAAGAAAGGGAAGAGUUAUGCCAUUGACAAAUAUUGAGCGCUUGAAUUAGUUGUGUAAUCAAUUGAUUAUUCAUUACAACUAUCAUCUUAUUGUCAUUUAAUUUUUUCAUGAUAUUAUAUAUAUUUUAUAGCAGUUUAAUGACAAGCACGGACAAAAAAUAAAUUCCACUUGAGAAGUUGAAGGAUACGACCUUUGGUUAUGAAUGCGUCAAGGGUUGGAGAGCUGGAAGAAGAAGAAGAGAAGAAAAAUGUUGCAGAAAAUCAUGAAUUAAUUUCAAGCAUAUGUUGGUUAUUAACAUGAGUUUAUAAAGUAUAAUAUAAAAUUUUUAACAAUAGAAUUAAUAAGUAGAUGAGUUUACAAAGUAAUUUGGUGGGUUCAAAUAUACUCACUCUUUAAAAUAAUUAGUUUUUACUCUGCACACUCUUUUUUUUUUUUUAUGAGAAAGUAAAGCUUUCAAUUGAUUAAGAAGAAGAGAACAACAUCAACACCUGGACAGGGAAAUCACCUAUCCAGGUGACAGCUUCCUCAAACUCAAGAGCUACAUUAGCUAAGUUAUGGGCAAUUACAUUACACUUUCUUGGGACAAAACGAAUAGCUGCCGAGGCUUGGUUUUUCAACUCUGCUUGUAUUUCUUCAAUGUUCCAACAAAUUUUAGCUCAACUUUCCUUCUUGUUUAAAGUGAGCUCCACAACUUCCUUCAAGUCUGAUUCAACAAUGAAUUGGGCACAAUUUGUUUUCUGACCUACUUGAAUACCGAGCAGCACUGCUUCUGCCUCCAUGUUUGCCACAUUUCCUUUUAAAGCUACUCUCUUAACAGCUGCAGCCACGAUCUCAUAAAAUACUAAAAAAGCUACUCUCUUAAUUCUGCACACUCUUUAAAAUACUAAAAAAGUCCUCAAUAAAACCUUUAAGUAAAUCAAUUAAGAAUUUCAAGUUAAAAUAAAUCUAUACAUGUAAUCACAAUUUAUUAAAAAUGGUAGUAAAACUUUUAUAUUUGAAGUCAAGUACUUAAUUACCAAACUUAAAUAAAUUAAACAAUUAAAAUUUAUUCAUCUUUUUAAAUUUUAAACUAUUAUUAGUCAAAAGUUUCAAAAAUAAAUUAAACUCAACUUAACAUAAAGCUAUUUGGGUGUCAUUGUUUCUUUGUCAUACACUCUACCUUUUUUUUUAAGAACCUACUGUUGAUAGUUUUUCUAUCAAAAACUCCUCAAAAUAUUUAAAUUUUAUCUUCUAACUUGUCCUCUUGGUUAAUGUAACUAAUAACUAAAAUCUCAAAAUUCACAUAAAAGUUUAUGAAAUGUUGAUAGAUAGUUGUUACUAUAUAUCUUUUUUUGUAAGUAUUGGCAUUUUUUCAAUUAAAUUAUUUUUAUAAAUAAAUUAAAACAGUAAUAAUAUUUUAGUCCCCAAAUCUUUUCAAUCUAUUCAAUAAAUAUAUAAUUUAAUUAUUUCAUGAAAUAAGUCACUAAUUCCAACUGGGAAGAAAAUAUAAUUGAAUUAGGAACAUGUUUGAAAAUAAAAUAAAAACUCUAUUAUUUUAUAAAACUGAUUUAAAAAAAACAUAAGGGUAGUUAAAUUAGGGACAUAUAUAAAAAAAAUAAAACUAUAUUAUUAUCUAAAAUUAAUAAAAAAAAUAAGGGGUAUAAAUAACUUUCCUGGACUAAUCCGGGCUACACCCCCGCUUAGGUCCGCUUGCGCACUCAUUACUCCAAAUACAACGUUUAAAAUUUAAAAUCAAAUUUUUACUAUGUAAAAGGGAUAUUAUCAUUUUUCCACCAAAGGUAUUCUGACACAUCAUGUCAGUACCAUGGUUUGAUAAAACUAUCAUUUUACCACCAAACGUUUAAACUGUUAGCAUUUUCCCACCAUUUCGUUAAAACUCAGUUAAUAUUUAACGAAAAAUUAUUAAAAGGUCAAUUUUACCCCUAGAGCGUAAAAGACGAUUUUGCCCUUUAAGAAUGAACAACAAUAAGUGAUGAUUAAAUUACAAAAAUAACCCCAAAAGUAGCUGUUACAUUCAAAUAACGGCUACUUUUAUGCUUAUAAGAGCUGCUGCUGGUUGCCAUUUCAACCCGCAACCAGCAACCCCAAAUCAAAGGCCAGCAAGUAGGGGUGGGCAAAAUCGGGUUCGGAUCAACCCGAUCAGAUUUCGGGUUGAUCGGGUUGGAGAGAAACUCAUCCGAACUCAACCCGAAUUUUAGAUCAGAUCGGAUCGGAUCGGGUUAUAUUCGGGUCGGAUCUAAAAUUCGGAUCAAUUUCGGGUCAAUUCGGGUUAAGGACAAAAAAAGUCAUUUGUGUUAAUUUUGGGUUGUUUAAUAAUUAUUUAAUAAUUACAAGAUCACUUUUAUGCAAUUAGUUCAUUUUAGUCCAUUUCCACUUUCCAAUGACUGUCAUAAAAAAAAUAUAAACUGAAAUAGAAUUGAAAAAGUUGUGAGCUUGGAGGACUUGGUGUCAUGAAUCUCAGUCUCGGUCUCGUUGGAAGAACAACCAUGGAUCACUUCGCGCGGGUCAAGCAGCAGCCGAUGGAUCAAGCGGCAACGGGUUUCGUCGAUGGCUCAUGGCUUCACAGGUUUUGUCGGUGGCUACCGGAAAAGCAGAUCCAAUCGAAGUGAAGUGCAGCAACCGUCGAUGCAGCAGCAAGCAGAUCCUGUCGUCAGUGCAGCAGAUCUGGUCGAGUGGUGUGCUGCAUAUGGCCGUUGCUGUGCUAACCGUCUGUAGUUUUGUUGUUGCGAGAAAGAAGAGAAAGAAGACAGUGAAGAGAAAAAAGAGAGUUGUUUGUGUGAGUUGUGAGAAAGAAGAGAAAGAAGAUAGUGAAGAGAAAGAACACGGAGAGUGAGAAAGAAGAGAAAGAAGAGAGUGAAGAGAAAGAACACAGAGAGUGUUGGUGUGAGUCUGUGAGCCAUAGUGUUCGUAUAUGUUCUGUUUAGCCAUUUAGGUUGUUUGUGUGUGGCGUGUGUGUUUAGAUUUAGGUUUUUUUUUUUAAAGCAACCCGAUCGGGUUUUCGGAUCGGAUCGGAUUUGACCUGAUCCGAUCACAACCCGAUCGGAUUUCCUUUAUAACCCGAUCCGAUCCGAUCCGAACCCGAAAUUUUUCGGGUCGGGUCGGGUAUUUUGCCCACCCCUACCAGCAACCCCAUUUGAGCACCAACAACCCAGCUGAAAAAGAAAGAAAAUGGCAACCCAGCACAACUACAAGCCACAGUAAACAUUUCAAUACCACUGCACCAGCAAGCCCAAGCCAUUUUUAAACACCAGUAAGCUCAUUUUAUUACUAGCAAUCAUGCCAGGUUUGUACAUGCAGGUUUAAAAAGUGUAAUUUUUGGCAAUGGGCAGCAAAAAAAGAUAUGGAAAUGCGUAACAUUACAUCCAAUCAUGGCAUGAACCUAAAUGAAGAUGUGAUGAAGAUAAGUGAACUACUACGAUGCAUUGAAGCGAAACUGAAAUUGGUCGUAGUUUUUAUUUGUGGCAUUGUGAUAGGCUUAUUUAUGAGGAAGUAAUGUAAUAAACAUGAAAAAAUAUUGUAGCAAUCAAUCAUUGUAGCUGAAGAUGUAAUGAAGCAUUAUAGUUUAAGAUGUAAUGCAACUGGAAAGUAAUCAAAACAGUUUGUGGAUUCCAAAAACAUAACAGCAACUUAAUGCACUAAUAUAAAGUUUGUGCAUCCAAAAUACAUAACAACAACUUAAUGCAUUAAUAUAAAGUUUGUGCAUCUAAAAUACAUAACAGUAACUUAAUGCACUAAUAUAAAGUUUUGUGCAUCUAAAAUACAUAACAGCACCUUAAUGGUUAUUUCAUACAGCAUCUAAUAUCUGUGAAGCUUGUGAGCCUUGAGUUGGAUUCGGGGAAACAUUAUCAGCUUCAUAUUGGCCAGGACAAAAAAAUUAUUACCUCAUUAUCUAAGACCAACAGUAGCUAUUUGCAGACAUCAAACAUUAAUUUGAAACAAUAACUUACCAUUGUUACGUCUUCUUACUCCAUCGCCUCUUGCUCUUGCUCUGUUACUCCUUUGGCCCCUUCGGCCUCUAUUCCUUCCUCUUCCUCUAUUACCAGUACCUCAUCUUCCUCUAUGAGCAAUAAAGCUCUCUUGUGAACCACCUACAGCCUAUUUAAAUUGAAAUAUAUAAAUAAUCAAAUCAUCAAUAUUUAUAACAAACUAAAAAUUACUCAAUGAAUAACAAUAAACAAAUUACCACUUUCUUUGUCCUCUUUGAAGUACUUGCUGCAUUAGAACUUUCUCCCGGCCCACUAACUCCCUAUUUAAAAUUACAUAGAUAACAAACAAUAAAAAAUUAAUUUCAAUACACAUAAAAACAAUUAAAACAUUAGGUUAAGUGGCUGUUACCUGCUGAGCUCUUAAUUAUCUUGCUAUCGAUGGCCUUAAUGCACAUUUCCUGACAUUGUGGUUCAUCCCACCACAAAAUGAGCAGCAGAUAUAAAAUGAUUUUUUUUUUUUUAUUGGCUCAGUGGCUGCCCUUUUCCUUGACAUUUUUGGUCUACCAAUCUUCUUGGUAAUCUCAGGUGGAAAGAGCUUGGGCCUAUCACAAGGGUCCCAUGUAACUUUGUUAGGAAUUGGCUUGAACAUCACUGCAUAUGUGUUCAAGUACGCCUCUUUGCCGAAGUAUUUUGGUAGAUACUCUGUUGCUGUGUGUCUAGCAUGACUAAUUGCAGCCAUAACAUGAGUACAGGGGAUUCCAGCUAGGUCCCAAUAACCACAAUCACAAGACCUGCUCAUGAGAUCGACAAUGAACCUCCUUGUUGGAUAAUAACCCUUGUGUUUAACCUAACAAAAAUUACAUAAUGAUUAAAUAAUAAUUAUAAGGUUGAGGAAAAAAAAUUGAUUAACCUAACAAACAUUCAGGUUCAGGAAAAAAUUAAUUAUAAGGAACAUGAGUUAGAAUUAUACUUGAAAGUGAAGAUCCCCAGAAGCCAUUACAUUCAUCUUGCUUCCACAUUCAUAUGCAACAUCCAAUUCUUUUUUCACUCUAGGUGGAAUGUUGGUCUAAGAUUGUGCUUCUUUUUUCCUUUUUGUGAAGAGUGUCAUGAACAUGCAUCUAAUUUCUUCAAGCAUGUUCAAGCAAGGCUUCUCUCUGUGGGGUAAUAUCCAACUAUUAAAACACUCUGAAGUGUUGUUAGUUGUACGAUCUACCUUGCAAUUCUUGUCAUACUCAUGUCUUGACCAAGUAAACCCAGCAAGCUCAGUCUCCAGCCACUGCCAUGCCUCUAACUUCUCUUUUUUGAGGUUUUCCAUUGCAAUAGCGUAAUCAUACUUGUUAGUGCUACUGACAGCCCUCCAAAACAGAUUUCUCAAACUAACACCAGGAUGUUCUUUGUAGAAGUUAGUAUAUAUAUGCCUAGCACAUGGUCUAUGAUAUGCAGUAGGCCAAGUUAUCUCAAUGGCCCCCAACAAACCCUUUUGCCUAUCUUAGCAAAAUGUAAUAUGCUCUAAGCCAUUAUCAAAAUACGAAUGCAGAAUUUCUAAAAACCACGACCAGGUUUCAGUAUUCUCUAUCUCACACACUGCUAAUGCUAAUGGGACCAUUCCAUUAUUAGCAUCCAUACCUGUUGAGUGUUAGAAAAUGCAUAUUUAUAAAGGAGAAAACCGUCAUUUUACAUUUCAAGUCUUAUUAACAACCCUUACUUUUAUGUAUUUAACCUUCUUGUGAUUUAAUUACAUGUCUUUUAUUUUAAUUAAGUAUUUUAUGUAUUUUAGGGGCAUUAUAGUCAUUUCACAAUAAAGGAGAGAUCAGAUGGCAAAACGGACAUCACUUUUGAACUCAGGACGGUCGAAAACCUUAGGAGGAGCAUAAAAGGAAAAAUGACACUAUUCACAUGUACGGUACUAUUCACGUAUACGGUACUGUCUACGUUACUGUUCACGAAACUGUUCACAUAGACGGAUCGAUGACGUGGCAUUGACCGAUGAUGUGGCAUUGACUGAUGAGGUGUCACGAUCCUGUUGGACUAAACUUCUUAUGUACUGUUGAUGGUGACGUGGCAGCAUAUCAGUGGAUGAAAAAUCUCGCGUACGGUGCAUGCAUCACACAGGAUUAUUUUCAACCAAACCGCGUUACUGUUCAUCCGGGUCAAACCGUGUUACUGUUCAUCCGCGUGGUCAAACCGUGGACUGUUGACUGAUGACGUGGCGCAAUCCUGAGCGUCCAAACUAUUUUUAAUCCGAUGGCCAUGAUUUACUCCAUGUAUCUAUAAAAAGGGGGCCUCCCCCCCCUAAUUUGAUAUCUCUGAAUCCAUUUUUGGGAUCCAUUUUCUGUAAUUCCCUCUCCAUCUUGUAUUUUCUUUGUAUUUUAAUAAAUUCCCAUUUUGCCCCUAGUUCAAUUAUGAGUGGCUAAUUUUCUUUCAAGCUUGGGUUGAAGGUGAAGUCUCAACAUGUGUCAUGGGCUUUAUUUGGUAAAUUUAUUUUCUUUUCCCCUCUAGUUUUUGUGGAUGAUUUGACUUAUCGUCGACAAAUAAUACUGAUCUUGUCUAGAUACCGCCUUGGUUACACCGGCUCUCUAGUAUAAGGUUAUUAUUAUUUGGCACGAUAAGCCCUUAGCACCAUAUUGAUUAGAGCGUGGUUCAUGAGGUGUGGAUCCCCCCCUCAUGAUUUAAUUGGCAUUAAUACGGAUUAUUUAGCCCAUGAUGCAUGUUGAUACGGAUCCAGAUACCCAAGUACGUCAUUUCAAUAGAUUUCGCUUCAACUUAUUCUCGCCAUUGCAAUUCCAAUUUUAGAAUUUAUUAUCGCAAUUUCAAUUCCAAUUUUAGGAUAAUUUAAAUCACUUCCACCACAAUUCCAACCACCCAUUUUGCAAAAUUAAUUCUAUACACAAUUAAAAUCCUCCUCCUCGUGGGAUCGACACUCGUCACCAUUGAUCUACACUACAAUAGAUUCAUGCGCUUGCGAGUACAUUAAAAUUUGCACAACAAGUUUUUGGCGCCGUUGCCCGGGGAGGUAAGUAAUUUUAAUUCAUAGAAUUAAUUUUUGUGAAUAAUUUCUUUUAAAUUGUUUUCUUGUAUUUUUUUUAUUAAAAAAAAAAAGGUGAAUCUGCAUUUAAAGGUUAGUAUUUCUUUUCUUUUUCUCUUCUUUAAAAUUCUGUAAUUUAAUUUUCAAUUUAUUUUUUUCUUUGUAAUUUUUAUUUAUUUUAUUAAUUUAAUUUUUAGUUAAUUUAUUUCACGUAUUUGUUUUUGUGUAUUUUUAUAAAAAGGUUGUAAUAGCGCAAUAAGGUUAGUAUCGUAAUUUCUCCCUCUUCUUUAUUUUUAUUUGUUUUGUUCCCAUCUUUAUUUUUAUUUUAUUUGUUUUGCAUGCAUGGUCGUAGGUCAUUAUUACCUAAUCUUGAACCUAUAGACCUUGAAUUAGAAAAAACACUUCGCACACAAAAGCACAUUAAAAAUAAAUUUGGAAUGGAUUUACAAGCACCACAGGAGAGGCCAUUUAAGGACUAUUUUAGUCCCUUAGCUAAUUUGAGCACAUCAUGCAUAAGAUACCCAAAUGUAGCUGCUAGGAGUUUUGAAUUAAAACCUAGUGUGCUAAAUUGUCUCCCCACAUUCUAUGGCUUAGAAAAUGAGGACCCAUAUAAUCAUCUGAAUGAUUUUCAUACCAUUUGUCAAACUUUUAAAUAUGAAAAUUUUUCAGACGAUGAUGUUAAACUCAGAUUAUUCCCAUUUUCUUUAAAGGAUAGAGCUCGUUCAUGGCUUAAUACAUUGCCUGCUAAUAGCAUUGCAUCAUGGGAACAAAUGGUUACAAAAUUUCUAAAUAAAUAUUUCUCAGUGCAUAAAACUAAUUCUAUUCGCAGGGAAAUUUCAGAGUUUACACAAAGAGAGGACGAGCAGUUUUUCGAAACUUGGGAGCGAUUCAAUGGGCUACUCUUGAAGUGUCCACAUCAUGGGUACGAAAAAUGGCAUCAAUGCCAAUACUUUUUGGAGGGAUUAUUGCCGAAUGUGCAAGAAUGGCUAAUGGCAACAAGUAGAGGAGAGCUAAUGUCAAAAAGCGCAACAGAGAUUUGGGAAUUCUUCCAGCGACAAGCGGAUAAUUCCCAACAACGGAGUCGAUCAUUCAGGAAUACUAGAAAAAUUAAAGGAGUAAAUGAGGUUCACAUUGGCGAGUCAACUUCGGAAAUCAAAGAAGUCAAGGAGAUGGUUGAAGGUCUUGCUCGACAAAUAGCAUCGUUAUCGACUGCUAAAUCAACAGAAUCACAUGACCAUGACUCAUAUUCAGAUCAAGCCAAUGCCAUAGGUGUAAUGAGAAAACCAUCGAAUUACAACCCAUACUCCAACACAUAUAAUCCUGGAUGGAGAGAUCACCCCAAUUUUUCAUGGUCUCAAGGAUUCCAACAGAAUGGACCAACAGCUCCAGCUCCACUACUGCAACCAAUUCCUCAAAAUCCUCAAGCCUCUCAGCCACCAUUCAGACCAUACAAUCAGAACCAGAACUACUCUCAACCCAGACCAUGGGAGGAUGCAUUCCAGAAUUUCAAGAAUGUUACUCAUUCUACCAUUGAGCAACAGAACCGCACCAUUGAUGGACUACGAAAUGAAUUGAGAGCGGGCUUUAACUCACAAGCCCAAUCAGUUUCAAGCCUCGAGAAGAUGGUGGGACAACUCGCUUCUUCAGUUCAGACAUUGGCAAUGACUAUUGAGAAAGGCAAGUUUCCAAGUCAACCAGUGCCUAAUCCUAAAGGAGUACAUGAAGCAAGUACCAGUUCACCACAGCAGCAUGGGGAGGUCAAAGCAGUCAUGACCUUGCGAAAAGGAAAAGAAGUCGACAACAAAGUGGAGAUGCCGGUGACCAAAGAAAAUCAAAUUGUACCUGUGAAUGUUGAAGACUCACCACCGGAGGAAAAAGAAGAAACCAACCCACGAGAAUAUGUUCCUAAAGCUCCAUUUCCUCAGAGGUUAGCGAAAGGAAAGAAGGGAAAAUCCACAGGUGAGAUUCUCGAAAUCUUCAAACAGGUAAGUGUUAACAUCCCUUUACUUGAUGCUAUUAAACAAGUUCCAUCUUAUGCCAAGUUUCUUAAAGACCUUUGUACUAAAAAGAGAAACAUGCAUGUUCAAAAGAAGGCAUUUUUAACAGAAAACGUUAGUUCUAUACUCCAACAUAAAAUUCCUUUAAAAUGCAAAGACCCAGGCUCCCCCACUAUCUCAUGUAGUAUAGGGAACCACACAAUUGAGAAUGCUUUGUUGGAUUUAGGAGCUAGUGUAAAUUUGUUGCCUUAUUCAGUAUUUGUGAAACUUGGACUGGGAGAAUUACACCCAACUCCAGUGGUGUUACAGCUUGCAGAUCGGUCCACGAAAAUACCUCGUGGUAUUGUGGAGGACGUGCUUAUCCAGGUAGACAAGUUUUAUUUUCCUGUUGAUUUCAUUGUAAUUGACACUCAACCAAUACAGGACUCAAGGAAGCACAUCCCCAUUAUUCUAGGCCUACCUUUCUUGGCAACUGCGGAUGCUCACAUUCAAUGCAGGACUGGAAAUAUGCAGUUGUCCUUUGGCAACAUGACUAUGGAGCUAAACAUUUUCAACAUUGCCAAACAACCUCAUAGUCCAGAUGAUGGAAUUGUUGAUGUGGAUUUAAUAGAAACAAUAGUCGAUAAUACUUUUAUUUCAAACCUUAGUGAUGACCCUUUACAGACAUGCUUAACUCACUUUGGUUUGAAUUUUGAUAUUGACAGAUCGGUCGAUGAGGUCAACACUCUACUUGACUCAGCACCAUCCAUGGACACUAAUAAAUGGAAGUCAAGAGUUGAACAACUAGCACCAUCAGAGAAGAAAAUCAUCCCAUCAUCAGAAUCACCACCGAAACUCGAGCUCAAACCAUUACCCAACACAUUGGAAUAUGCGUUUUUGGGAGAAGAAAGCACUCUACCGGUAAUCAUCUCAUCAUCCCUAAACGACGAACAAAAAGGUAAGUUAUUGGAUGUUUUAAAAGAGCACAAAGGAGCAUUAGGAUGGACCAUAGCAGAUAUUAAAGGUAUAAACCCAGUAGACUGCAUGCAUUACAUUCACCUUGAUGAAAAUGCUAAAACUACUAGGGAAAUGCAACGUCGGUUAAAUCCUAAUAUGAAAGAAGUUGUUAGAACAGAAGUCCUUAAGCUAUUAGAUGCAGGUAUCAUUUACCCAAUUUCUGAUAGUUCAUGGGUCAGUCCUGUACAAGUUGUCCCCAAAAAGUCAGGAGUCACAGUAGUUACCAAUGCUGAUAAUGAAUUGAUACCAACUAGAGUAACUACAGGAUGGCGUGUAUGCAUUGAUUAUAGAAAAUUGAAUUAUGUCACACGUAAAGACCAUUUUCCUUUACCAUUUAUUGAUCAAAUGCUUGAUAGAUUAGCAGGCCAUGAAUUUUAUUGCUUUCUGGAUGGUUAUUCAGGAUAUAAUCAGAUUCCCAUAGCACCAAAAGAUCAGGAGAAAACUACUUUCACUUGCCCUUUUGGCACUUUUGCAUAUAGGAGAAUGCCAUUUGGAUUAUGUAAUGCACCUGCUACAUUCCAACGAUGCAUGUUGAGCAUUUUUUCUGAUAUGGUUGAACGAUUCCUUGAAGUCUUUAUGGAUGAUUUUUCUGUCUUUGGUGACUCGUUUGAUCAAUGUUUACAUCAUCUAACGCUAGUUCUGCAGAGAUGUAUCGAGAAGAACUUAGUCUUAAAAUGGGAGAAGUGUCAUUUUAUGGUAAAACAAGGUAUUGUUCUCAGUCACAUCAUUUCAAGCAAAGGUAUUGAGGUUGACAAAGCCAAGGUGGAUCUCAUUUCUAAUCUUCCUCCACCUAAAACAGUCAGAGAAGUAAGAUCUUUCCUUGGGCAUGCUGGUUUCUAUAGACGUUUCAUUAAAGAUUUUAGCAAAGUUUCUAGACCCUUAUGCAAUUUACUUGCUAAGGAUGUACCUUUUAUCUUUAAUGAUUCAUGUCUUAUGGCUUUUGAAAAAUUAAAGCGAUUGUUGACAUCAUCACCCAUCAUUCAGGCCCCAAACUGGAGUUUACCAUUUAAGCUCAUGUGUGAUGCAUCUGAUUAUGCAGUAGGAGCAGUAUUAGGACAAAGAGUUGAUCGAAUUCCCCAUGUUAUUUACUAUGCUAGUAUGACAUUGAAUAAUGCACAGUUGAACUAUUCAACUACUGAAAAAGAAAUGCUAGCAGUAGUGUUUGCAUUAGAGAAAUUUCGAUCUUAUCUCAUUGGUUGUAAAAUAAUUAUAUUCACAGAUCAUGCUGCUCUUAAAUAUCUUCUCAUAAAGAAAGAUGCAAAAGCUAGACUAAUUCGUUGGGUGUUACUUUUGCAGGAAUUCGACUUGGAAUUCAAGGAUAAGAAAGGCACAGAGAAUGUUGUAGCGGACCACCUCUCUCGUCUCCAUUUUGACACAAUUACAGAAUCAUUACCAUUGAAUUAGUCAUUUCCAGAUGAACAAUUAAUGAAUGUGGAAGUAUUACCUUGGUAUGCUGAUAUAGUUAAUUAUCUUGUUACAGGUAAACUUCCAGAGCAUUGGACCAAGCAAGACAAGGCUAAAUUCUUUGCGGAAAUAAAGAAUUUCUUUUGGGAUGACCCGUAUUUGUUCAAGUAUUGUGCAGACCAAAUUGUUAGACGAUGUGUCCCUGAAAAUGAAAUUCAGAAUAUUCUUUCAUUCUGCCAUGCACAAGCUUGUGGAGGCCAUUUCAGUGCUAAGAAAACAGCGACUAAAGUUUUACAAUGUGGUUUCUAUUGGCCAACUAUAUUUCGAGAUGCUUACACUUUCUGUUCUUCAUGUGAUAGGUGUCAACGAAUGGGGAGCAUUACACGAAGGAACAUGAUGCCACUAAAUCCAAUUUUAGUGGUUGAGAUUUUUGACGUAUGGGGUAUCGACUUCAUGGGACCCUUUCCUCCGUCUUUUGGUCAUCAAUACAUAUUGGUUGCUGUUGACUACGUAUCGAAAUGGGUGGAAGCAAUUCCAUGCAGAACCAAUGAUCACAAAGUGGUGAUAGGAUUUUUGAAAAGCAACAUUGUUUCACGCUUUGGAUUCCCUCGAGCGAUAAUCAGUGAUGGUGGUGCCCACUUUUGUAACAAAGCAUUCAAAGCUCUUUUGACAAAGUAUUCAAUCACCCACAAAGUGGCGACUCCGUAUCAUCCGCAAACCAGUGGCCAAGUUGAGAUCUCCAAUCGAGAAAUAAAGCACAUAUUAGAAAAGACGGUGAGGCCAGACAGGAAAGAUUGGUCAUUACGACUUGAUGAUGCAUUAUGGGCAUAUAGAACGGCUUUCAAGACCCCGAUUGGGAUGUCACCCUACAGGCUAGUGUAUGGAAAAGCUUGCCACCUACCUGUGGAACUCGAGCAUCGUGCAUAUUGGGCCAUCAAGAAAUUCAACUUUGACAUGCAGCAAGUCAGCUCAGAAAGAAGAUUACAGCUGGCAGAACUUGAAGAAAUUCGCAAUGAUGCAUACGAAAAUGCCAAGAUUUACAAGCAACGAAUGAAAGUCUUCCAUGAUAAGCAAAUUAUGAGAAAAUCGUUCACUCCAGGUCAGAAAGUGUUUUUAUUCAAUUCUCGCUUGCACCUAUUCCCAGGUAAGUUACGCUCUCGAUGGUCUGGUCCCUUUAUUGUUCAUACUGUUUUUCCACAUGGGGCAAUUGAAAUUAAAGACCCAAAGAACGGUGUCACGUUUAAAGUUAAUGGUCAAAGAUUAAAGCCAUAUCUAGAGUACCAACCACAUGAAGAAGACACCGAAAUAAAUUUGAGUGACCCACCAGAUUUGAAUUAAUUUUUUUUCUCUUUUUAUUGAUUUGAUUUUUCUUUCUUUCUUUUUAUUAUUCUUUUGCUAAUUGAAAUUGUUUUUGCAUAAGUGUGUUUAUUUUACCAUUAAGUUUUCUCUUAUCAUUUUUAAUCAUGAGUCUCCUACUUAGACCGUUCCUCCUGAACAUUCUUAAACCACUUCAACGUGUCAAAACUCAUCUCAAAAGGCAGAUUCUAUUUUGUAAAACACAACGCAUUUGGGCUCUACAACCACCAGAGUUAGUAGCCUAUGUUGAGGGUUUAGAACGCCAACUCAGAGAUAUUGAGAGAAGUGUUUACGACAUCCAGUUGGAGCUUGAGGUAAAUUCAAUAAGAGGACGAUUUUAAUUUUCUUUGUGUGUUUUGAUUUGUUUUUCUGUUUGUGUGCUUUAGUUUGUUACCCCGGUGAAGUGGCGGAUAACGGUACUCCGUGACAAUCAAGUCGGUUAACUUCAGUUUCCCAUAAUAACUGAUAUUCUGAGGCGAAGGUAUGGAUACAAACGAGAUUUUAGCAAAGCUUCACAAGCGAUUCCCUUCACUUCCUCAGAAUGCCCUCCUUACGAUCUAUAAAGCCCGGUCUGAACGCAUGCGAUUGCUCAUGAGGAAUAACAUACCUGCAGACAUCCGUUGGUUAAUCGAGGCUAAAGUACGAUCGGCAGGUGAGUUACCUCCAAAAUUUAUUGCAUUCAUGCCUGGUUGUGGUAAAGGAAAUUAUGCAAGAAAACGACGAGCUCGAAGAAUUUCUGUUGCUUGUCAUAAGUGUGCCAGAAUGAGUUGCGAUAAAAACCCAUGUUCUUUAGGAAUGGUGUCUGAUAACAGGGAAGAUAAGAUUCAAUUCAUUAGGGAUGGCUUGAAUAAGGAGUCAUUGGAUGAUAUCCUUUUGUCUCUUGAAACGCAUCCUAGUGGAUAUGUGCAAGGAGCGAUUCUCCAGUUAUGGCCAUUAUUCCAGAAAGAGCAUGCACGAUAUAGUCUCGGGAAUCUGACUAUAAACGACCCUGUUUGCCAGUUUAUAAGAAAACUGGAUAGGAAGCCUAUCCUCGACCCAUAGAGGGCGUUCAAGCCGUUUCUGGACGUAAAACCAGAGGAAGAUGUGAGCCACAGUCGCAACUACCUGUAAAUAUCCUUUUACUUUACUGUUGUUUUAUUUUACUGUUGUUUUAUCGUUUGUAUUAUUAUCUUUAAUAAUUUUAUUACUGUUUGCUUUUUCCUUUUUACUGUUUCCUUUUUGACUCGCGAGCCACGUGCUUUACGCGUUAUUUGACACUGACAUGUUACCUCAUUCACAGCUGUGAUCCACUGUCACCAAGAUUCUUAAAUGUGAUUUAUCUUUUGUCAAGCACUCACAAAUUAUUUUUGAGAAGUAUCACAAUGGCAGCUACUCCCAAUAGACAAUUCAAGAACAUUUGUGUGCUUUCUGGAUUUACCUAUGGCAAACAUAAAGAGUUCGUGGAGGCAGCCAUAGAUCUUGGUCGAAGCAUAGCAGCGAGAAAAUUACAUUUGGUGUAUGGAGGAGGUAACCGAGGGUUAUCAAAAAUGGUCUCAGAAGCAGCUUUUAUCAGAGGAAGUCAAGUGUUAGGCAUCAUCCCAAGAGUCCUAAAACCAUUGGGCAGUUCAUCUAACUCAUCAACUGGAGAAGAGUUAGUCGUCUCAGGUAUGCAAGAAAGAAUAACUGAAAUGCUUAAUCAUGUUGAUGCUUUUAUUUUCCUUCUAGGAGAUCUUGCAACACUAGAGGCACUUAUGACACUAGCAUCUUGGGCCCAUCUGCACAUCCACCAGAAACCCAUCGGUUUGUUAAAUGUCAAUAACUUUUAUGAUGGCUUUAUCGCAUUUCUUAACCAUGCAAUAAAAAACUAUUUCAUUCCUUCUAAUGUGAAAAAACUCUUUAUUUGUGCUCACACUGCUAAUGAGCUACUUGAUAUGUUACAAGCUUAUAAACCGGAGCCAGACCCCUGGACCUUUGUGUUGGAGCGACCAAAUAAUGAUGGUAACAGUAGCCGCAGUAAGAAGUACAAAUUAGAUUUAACUCUCCGCCUGUAAAUAUUUUCUUCUGUGUUGCACCACCCAGGUGAUGUCUUCUAAACUCUACUUCUUUCCUUUAAAACAUUGAGGACAAUGUUUCGUUCUGGUUGGGGGGAGGGAAUAGUCGACAAUUGUGGAAUCUUGGUUAAGUUUUUACUAAUUUUUUGUUGUAGAAACUAACUGUUGCUAACGUUUUGUGUUGAAGAUGGCUGAAUAUGGAGUGUAGUUACUCUAGAAACGCAUCUUCAUCGUUUUAAAAAAAAAAAAAAAAACUCGUUUGCUUCCUCUUUCUCCUUUAUAAAUAUGUAGUUUCAAAUUUUUGAGUCGAAGAUGGCUGAAUAUGGAGUGUAGUGCCUCUAGAAACGCAUCUUCUUAGUUAAAAAAAAAAAAAUCUUUUUCUAAUUAAUUUUUCUACAUCAUUUUCACAUUUCUGCAUGCAUAUUUUCCUUUCAUGUUUAGAAUAGGUUGGGGGGUAGAAUGUUGUUUAAAAAAAAAAAAAAUUUGUGUUAUUUGUUUUAACAUUGGAUGACAUGAUUAAUUUCAAAUUUUAGUAUUUGUAUUAUCUUUGGUCUUAAGUGAUGUUACGCUAUGUUUGCUACUUUACAUGUUGAUGUCGGAGACAAAUAUGAGUUGCUUGAAGGAAUGAACAUGUCAUAAAUAAGUGCCAAGUGAGUUGUUGAGCCUAUCAUUUUCUUGGAGAGUAACCCUUUUGCCCAUUCUCUAUACAGCUUAGCAGUUUAUUAUUUUAUACACGAUCUCUAGAUUUCUUUUGAGUUAACCCUUUAAAAAAAAUGGUAAAAAUAAAAAAAAUAAAAAAUGUGUGUUGCUAUAUUGGGAUGCCCAUUUAACUAGUAGAUAUGGAUAAUUAUUUAGAGCCCUAAAAAACGAUGGAAAGGCCAUCUUUGAUCCGUUUGAGCCUUUCUAGCCAUCCCUGUUAUUAAAUAUCCAUAGUUACCCCUUUUGAGCCUUUAAAAAAAAAAAAAAAUCUUUUCUUUGUCAACUUAUCAUCUUGACCCACUCCGAUUUGGAGUAUUACUCAAUGUCUUUUAAGUUCCAUCACCUAUUUAUGUUUGAGAAAAUGUAAAUAAUUAUGUUGUUCAGUGAAGUUAUGCCAAAAAAAUAAAAAAUAAAAACAAAAAAUAAAAACAAAAACAAAAGUUGUUGUUUCAAAAGAAUAAAAAUAACAAUAAUAGGUGAAAUCCACCUUGCAAGUUCCAAAAAAAAAAAAAAAAAUCUGCAUUUUUCUCAAACAUACACUUUGUUUUCCUUAUUUCCCUUCUUUGUUAGCCAUAUCCCUAGCCUACGUUACGUCCUAAUAAAAGUCCUUCUUGAUUUUAGGAAACUAUAGUUUGAAGUAGAAGCUAGUUAUAUGGGCUAAAAAGAUGUAGUGAUGCAUAAUAAAAAAAAAAGAUAAAUAAAGUGGGUUGACUAACAUUUUAUUUGACUUGAGAUCGUAUUAUUUCUAAGCUGAGGGCAUAUUUAUUUCAUCUUGGUGAGAGCAUGUGAUAUCAUUUCUUUAUUAUUUUCUCUCUCAAUUACCAUUCAUUGGAGUGACUAUGUUUAUUGGGUUUUAAUUUCUUUGUGAGAGUGUCACUACUUCCAGUGAGAUUUUGGGGUUUGACAUGUCAUUCUUGAAAGUAGCUAUAACAAAGUCUACUGGGCUAAUUCAUGUGGAUGGUUGAUGUGGGUGUGAUGUUGCUUUAGACUGAAGAUAAUGCUUAUACUUUUAUUUGAUUGCUAUCAUUAAUCUGAUUGAAUAAACACGAGUGUUCCCAUAAAAAAAAAAAAAAAAUCAUUUUGAAUUUGAAUUUUGUUUUCGCUUUAUUUGCUAGGGACUAGCAAUAAGCUGGUUGGGGGGUGUGUUGAGUGUUAGAAAAUGCAUAUUUAUAAAGGAGAAAACCGUCAUUUUACAUUUCAAGUCUUAUUAACAACCCUUACUUUUAUGUAUUUAACCUUCUUGUGAUUUAAUUACAUGUCUUUUAUUUUAAUUAAGUAUUUUAUGUAUUUUAGGGGCAUUAUAGUCAUUUCACAAUAAAGGAGAGAUCAGAUGGCAAAACGGACAUCACUUUUGAACUCAGGACGGUCGAAAACCUUAGGAGGAGCAUAAAAGGAAAAAUGGCACUAUUCACAUGUACGGUACUAUUCACGUAUACGGUACUGUCUACGUUACUGUUCACGAAACUGUUCACAUAGACGGAUCGAUGACGUGGCAUUGACCGAUGAUGUGGCAUUAACUGAUGAGGUGUCACGAUCCUGUUGGACUAAACUUCUUAUGUACUGUUGAUGGUGACGUGGCAGCAUAUCAGUGGAUGAAAAAUCUCGCGUACGGUGCAUGCAUCACACAGGAUUAUUUUCAACCAAACCGCGUUACUGUUCAUCCGGGUCAAACCGUGUUACUGUUCAUCCGCGUGGUCAAACCGUGGACUGUUGACUGAUGACGUGGCGCAAUCCUGAGCGUCCAAACUAUUUUUAAUCCGAUGGCCAUGAUUUACUCCAUGUAUCUAUAAAAAGGGGGCCUCCCCCCCCCUAAUUUGAUAUCUCUGAAUCCAUUUUUGGGAUCCAUUUUCUGUAAUUCCCUCUCCAUCUUGUAUUUUCUUUGUAUUUUAAUAAAUUCCCAUUUUGCCCCUAGUUCAAUUAUGAGUGGCUAAUUUUCUUUCAAGCUUGGGUUGAAGGUGAAGUCUCAACAUGUGUCAUGGGCUUUAUUUGGUAAAUUUAUUUUCUUUUCCCCUCUAGUUUUUGUGGAUGAUUUGACUUAUCGUCGACAAAUAAUACUGAUCUUGUCUAGAUACCGCCUUGGUUACACCGGCUCUCUAGUAUAAGGUUAUUAUUAUUUGGCACGAUAAGCCCUUAGCACCAUAUUGAUUAGAGCGUGGUUCAUGAGGUGUGGAUCCCCCCCUCAUGAUUUAAUUGGCAUUAAUACGGAUUAUUUAGCCCAUGAUGCAUGUUGAUACGGAUCCAGAUACCCAAGUACGUCAUUUCAAUAGAUUUCGCUUCAACUUAUUCUCGCCAUUGCAAUUCCAAUUUUAGAAUUUAUUAUCGCAAUUUCAAUUCCAAUUUUAGGAUAAUUUAAAUCACUUCCACCACAAUUCCAACCACCCAUUUUGCAAAAUUAAUUCUAUACACAAUUAAAAUCCUCCUCCUCGUGGGAUCGACACUCGUCACCAUUGAUCUACACUACAAUAGAUUCGUGCGCUUGCGAGUACAUUAAAAUUUGCACAACAAUACCCACAGCGGCUAAUAGAACUCCACCAUAUUUUGAUUUCAAGUGACACCCAUCCAACCCGAUAUAUGGCCUACAGCCAUUGUUAAGGGCAUUUUUUUAAGCUGGAAAUGCCAUAAAGAAUCUUUGAAAGAGCACUUUCUCAGGCCUAGUUACAGCAUCACAAAGCACUUUACAAAUUGCACCAGGAUCAUACUUGUGAAUCACUGCAGCAUAUUGAAACAAAUCUUCGUAUCCCCUCGCAUGAUCUCCAUUAAUGUCUUUUCUUGCCCUCUCUCUAGCCCUAUAUAGUUUUAAAUCCCCUAUCCGCACACCAUAAGUCUCCAGCAUAAACUCACGAAGAACAGAAAUCUUCACAUGCGCAUCUACAGCAACUUUGCUCUUAAUUUUCUCUGCUAUCCAUUUAUUGUUCACAGCCACUGACUUUCCAGUCUGUCUACAUUCAUGCUUCUUUUGCAACUCUUCGAUUGCAAAUCCACCCUUGCCCCUUAUUUUACCUCCCAUCACAUACCAUGGACACUCAUUAAUCUUGCAUUUUCUGUAAAAUCUCCUAGGCUCAUUGUACACCUUUGUAAUUUCAAUGCCUUUAUCCACCAUCACUUCACCUAACACAUAUCUAAACUGUUCAACAUCAUCAAAUACAUCUCCUAACCUCAGCCUAUGUUUACCAUUACGCCUUGGCUUAUAUGCAUGCACUUCAAUAUCAUCCUUCAGCUGAGUGGUACCCAAAUCAUAAUAUGAAUCUGAUGUGUCUGCUAACAGCUGAGGAUCUACUUCAGCUGUUUCAUCGUCAGAACUAGAACCCCUAGCAUCAUCCAUAAUAUCUGCACCAUUAUCUUCAUUUUGGUCAUCGUCAUCAGCAUCAUCAUCAUCAGUGUCAUCUAUACGACUCCCAUCAGUUGAAUAUACUACAUCAUCAUCAUCAUUCUCAUGCCCAUCAUUCUCAUUCAGUUCUGUUGGUGGCCCUUGUAUGCCUCCAGUCCUAGGUGGUGGUUCAUUUCCACCAUCAUUCACCCAUGUAAUUUGCUCUGCAGAUAACUGCACUCCACAGUUAUGUAGCAUCGCUUGUAACACCCCACAAAGUGGUAAAUCAGGACGUAGGGUUGGCAAAAUUGUGGCUUCAAACACUGCCACUUCCAUUUAAUCAUGUACAGCGAACUGAGCCUGCAACACUGCCUCAGAAUCUACAGUAAUCGAAAGCUUGUCCCUUGGGUUGGUAACCGAUAACUGCACACUUUCAGGAGUUUCUUCAUCUGCUGCAGGGUAUAUUCUUCAGGUUCAAUCAACCCUAUAGGAUGUCUUUCACCUUUGUAAAGUAAAUGUAGUUGUAAUGGUAACAUCAUCUACCAGAUUAAAAACGAGGAAACAUUUUGAAUAACUAAAAUUACAGCAUAACUCAAAGCAAUUUAAUUAGGUAAAAAGUAAUGAAAAAUAACUAAAAUUAUGGCCAAUAACCAAAAUUUCAGCAAAACGGCAAAUGCAUGUAAGCUUAAUGGUUACAAAUAAAAAAUUAAUUAACAGUAAGCAAAAAUUAAUUAACAAUAGGCAACUAAUAAUCCUAAUCUAUUAAAUUCAAGUGCCAAUCACAACUCAAAGCAAUUUAAUUAGGUAAAAAGUAACGAACAAUAAUCAAAAUUAUGCCCAAUAACCAAAAUUACAGCAAAACGGCAAAUGCAUGUAAGCUUGAUGAUUACAAAUAAAAUGGCAAAAAUUCAUUAACAAUAACCAAGCAGUAAUCCUACUUACAAUGGACAAAGUAGAAGACAGUAGAGAUGGAAGAACACUGCUGCGAGAGUGAGAGAGAUAUGCGUCAGUUACAAUGAGCGAGAGAGAGCAGAGAUGGAAGAAGAAUCGAGAGAGAGGGGGAUUGAUUUCGAUUUCUAGGGCUCCAUGUCCAAAUUGCCCGCUUUCUUUACAAUUGCAAAACGCAACGUUUUCGCCUCACGUGAUAUGUCCAAAAUACCCUUAUGACGUCAGCAUAAUUUUUAUUCAGUUAACGGAAUUGUGGGAAAAUGCUAACAGUUUAAACAUUUAGUGGUAAAAUGAUAGUUUUACCAAACCAUGGUACUGACAUGAUGUGUCAGAAUACCUUUAGUGGGAAAAUGAUAAUAUCCCUAUGUAAAAUAUAUAAAUCUAAAAAAUAGUCUUGAAUUUUUUUUUUUUUUGGGCUCCUGUUUUAUUAUUCUUUUUCUAAAGUAAUUUUCUCUCUUCUUAUUAAAGGCUUGAGAUAAAUUAUAUAUCCCUUUUUCUUUUAUUGAAUCAUAAUUCUUCGUUUCUUCUAUUGAAUCAUAGUUCUUGUGAUUUUGAUUUUUAGUAUGUAUUGCCUACAAUUUAUCAUUGAGGUAUCAGUUACAUAAAUAUAAUUUUCCAUUAAUCUUAUUUCGAAGAUGUUAAUGAAAUAUAUUUGGUGAAAACGAUAUUAGAGUGAGGAUACGUGCACCCAUGACAAAAAUUUGCAAAGAACUCUUCAAUCUUUCAAAUUUUCCAAUUGAUAAAGAAUUGAUUUAAAAAGAAGAAGAAGAUGAUGAUGGUGAUUUAAGAUUUUAUAAUACAUGGGUGUGUCAAGGAUAUUUGUUUCAAGUUAAAAUUAUUCAAUCCUUAAUACUAAUUUCAUAAAAGGACGUUUUUAUAAUCUAAAAUUUUAUUAAAUAAAGAGGAUUAAAAAUAACUUUUAGAAUAUAUAAAUAAAUAGCCUCUCUCGAUUAUAAAGUACAAGGUCACUCGAUGAUGUCAUGAAUUUAUGUAAUCAAAUAUGAAUUAUGUAAAUGAAACAUAAGACUUAUAAAUUUAAUAUAAAACAUGUAAAUCAAUAUUAACUGUGAACUAACAUAUAAAUUAUGUAAAUAAAAUAUUAGACUUGUAAGUAGAAGGUAAAACAAACAAAUUAAUAUAGGAGUGAUAAAUUGGUAUAUUAUUGGUAAAUAAAAGAAAAACUUACAAAUGUAAUAUAUAAUUUAUAAAUCAAUAUUAAGUGUGAAAUAAAAUAUAAAUUGCGUAAAUGAAACAUAAGACAUGUAAAUAAAAGAUAAAAUAAGUAAAUUAAUAUAAGAUAUAAUAUAAAACUAUUAGUAGUAAACAAAAUAAAAAUUUAAAGAUAUAAUAUAAAACUAUAAAUCAAUAUUAAGUACAAAAUAAAACAUAAGUUUAGGUGUAAUUUACAAAAUUAAUAUAAGAUUUAUUAAAAAAAACUUACAAAUGUAAAAUAAAAAUUCAUUAUAAUAUUGAUUACCUUAUAUAUUUAUUGAUUCUAUUUUAAAUUGAAUAAUGAUAGUUUUUAUCUUAUGUAAUAAAUGUGAUGUUUUAUAUAAAUUUAUUCUCAAAAUUAGAUUUUGAAAUCUAUUCUUUUAAUGUUUUUCGAAUUUAUUGUAAGAUGACAUGAUUUUUCAUCCUUCUAAAUCUCCUCAUCAGCAAUGCAAAUAGUUUCUAAAUACAAGUAAGGGGUGACGGUUAAAAUUACAAGAAGUUUAUGUAAAACUCAAAACUAGAUUUAAUUUUAUUAAUAUGUCAUCUAUGUGUUUAGUAAUAUAAGAAUAUAUUUUUAUUUUAUUUUUUGUUUAAUCCACAUUAAGAUAAAUUAUUUCGCAUAGUUAACUUGUGUAGUAAAACAAAAAAAAAAAAUGACAGAAAAUGAAAAAAAAUAAGUUUAUAAAUAUCUUAAGACAAAUAUAGAAUUUAUUCUUAAACCAAUUUAGUAAAACUUAUUCUACUUGUUUUCAGUAUAAUUUUUUUGGUCUUAGAUUGAUGACUAUUUUUUUUUCAUUGUUUAGCUAAAGUAAAUGAAUAAAUUAUUUUUUCACUAAAAUUAUGUAGAAAUCAUGUUAAUUAUUUUAAUAAUUAACUGGUUUAUAUUAAUUUACAUGUUUUAUCUUCCAAUCACUUAUCUUAUGUAUAAUUUUAUAAAAUAUAUUUUUUACCACACCAUUAAUGCUGUAAUUCUAAUCAUGGCAUUAUAAAAUUUUCCAAUGUGGGGAAACUUCUUUACUCUAAAUAAAACUAGAGUUGUGUUGAGCACAAUUUAAAUAUCUAAACAGAGUUCCGUUGGCAUUAAACUUCAUUAUAAAAGAGUCUACAUUGGCAUCAUGCUAAUCUUAUUGACAAUAUAUAGUUGCCGGUAUUAAUUAUUUUUGCACCAUAGCUUCCGUAGAAUCAAUUGGGUACCCAGUUCCGGAUGAAGGGUUGGAACCGCCGUUGGAGCAUGUACAUAAGAUGGAGACAACUCGAAUGAGUAGUUUUGAAGAAUCAUUGCCGUGGCCAUUUUUGCUUCUACUAGAGCAAAAUUUUGUCCAACACAUAUCCUAGGACCCAAUGCGAAUGGGAAAUAUGAAACUUGAUUUUUCGCCGCCUUUGAAAUUCCUUCCGCAAACCUUUCCGGCUUAAACUCAACUGCAUCGUCACCCCAAAGUUCAGGAUCCUGGUGAACUAGGAUCAUUGGCAAGCCAAUUUGAACCCCAGCGGGUAAUGUCAAGUUUCCGAGUUUCGUUUCCUUAAAAACAGCUCGACUAAGCACAGUUACGGGCGGAUAAAGCCUGAGUACCUCGUAAAGUAUCAUCUGGACCUGUCACAUACAUACAAACACAACUGAGAUUAAUAUGAUCAAAUUGAUCAAUAUCGAAUACUAUUUCCUUCGUACUUACAAUUUUGAGGUGAUUCAAUCCAUCAUAGUCGGGCUUAUUAUUGCCAAACACUUGCAAAACCUCUUGCCUUGCACGUUCUUGCCAAUCUUGAUGCUUGCUCAAUAAGACCAUCGUCCAAUUAAGCAAAACAGAGGUAGUCUCUUGGCCGGCAAAGUAAAAUAGCUUACACUCUUCAAUCACAUCGUUCAUGCUGAACCCAACAUUUUUGUUAUUUCCAUGUUCUUCAAUCUCUCUAAAACUGGUUUCCAUCAGUAUGCCUAACAAGUCAUCAUUCGCAGCUUCCCCUGCUCUCAUUGCCUUCUCCCUAUUUUUGAUGAUUCCCAUCAAUGAAGCCCGGAUUUCCUUGUCAAUUUCUUUCAUUCUCCUAUUUCUCUUUGUAGGUAAAAACCUAUAUAUAACCAAUGAAACAACUGAAAAGACAAGAACUAAACAAACUAAUCAAACCCUUAAUUUUUUUUUUGCCCUCUUUUACCAAUCAGAAAUCUGCUGGAGCCUCUUAGAAUAACUCUAUGAUUAGCACAAUCAAGAUAUCUGAGCCGAAAUCAGCUAGGUCUACUUCUAAUAUUUUGCGGGAAAGAAAAUAACUCCCACAAAGCUAAUCAAAGCCUACUCAUAAAUAAUCCUAUAUGACAUGUAUAUAUGAAUGUUUCCAGUGAAGAGAAAUGUGAAUAUACCUCCAUCCUGGAAUGUGAACUGAACGAAAGACUUGCAUUGUGAGUUCAGCUAGCUCUGCCUGGAGCUGAAAAAUCCUUCUUCCUUCUUCAUAACUACUCCCAAAAGCCGUUCGAGAAAUCACAUCACUUGUUAAAUUUGCAAGAUAAGGCCAUACAUCCAACUCAGAUGAUCCUUCUACAGACAUUUGCUUCUCCCACUUUGUAAUUAUUUCGAUACAACUCAAGUAGAAUGCUGGCAACAUAAGCUGUAACAAAAGCAAGAAAUCUAAAUGAGGGCAAAAUCGAAUCUUCCAAAGAUAUGUAAACAAAUGGAGAAGUUAAUUAAUAAACCUUGAGCUUCUCUUGGUGGAAGGCUGGGUUGAUGAGUUUUCUAUGUUUAGCCCACUUCUCCCCCUCAAGGGUAGCCAAUCCAACUAUCAGCAGCCUGGCAAGUGGGAUUGAAUUGACUUUUUGAAAAUCAUUGAUCCUGGUAAAUAUCUCUUUUAUUUGAUCAGGAUUCAUAAUGUUCACCCUUGGUGUCGGACCAAACCACAUGAAAGAAUUCUUACCUGCAGAAUUUUUUUACCAAUAUAUACGCACAUGUUACUUGCUAGAGGCAGAUGGUACAUUGAAAAUGGUAGUAUACCUAAGCUGUGAAAAUUUAGUUAUUUUAUUCACAAAUCAGUCAAAGAAUAACCAUUCAUACUAAUUGAUUUUACUUCAAGCAGAAAAGAUCUAACAAGCAACUUUGCCCAUUAUAAGGUAAACAAUUAGAAACAUGGCACGAUUUUAUAAGAUUAUGUAAAAGCCUAAUGGCUUUGAAACAGUGAAUUAAUCAGACAACACUCAGCAAAAGGAACAACGCUGCCCUCUGGAAAUUUUACAUGUGGCAUAGCCCAUCCACUGGUUGAAUUACACCCACACGCCUAUCUCAUCAAGACAUUAGUGGUUCUAGCCACUCGGUCAAGGCUGAGUGGUAAAGUAUCACCACUUAAUUAAAAAGAAAAGAGAGAGAGAGAGAGAGAAGUUUAGCUGCAACAUCGAUUUUUUUCUCUGAUCAAAGAAGCGUAAAAAUAAAAUUAUGUUUUAACCCACCAAAAUUUUCCAGAAUUAUCUUUACGUGAAACAUCUCUUCUGAAUCAGAAGUCUAAUCAAAUUUCUUUCAUCAGACAGGAUUAAUUCUUUAAGCAGUGGCGCAGUCCAGAUAUUUGAGUCAUUUGAGUCCAGAACAGAACAAAUCUACUUUUGAACGAGUAAAGUUAAAAGAGUACACGCCGGGAUUGACAUACAUACCAUAAUCAUUUACCAGUUUAUGAAGGAAUGGAUUGACACGAAUAGCAAUAUUGUCAUCCAAACUGAGGGGUCUGGCUUUGGCUUCCUUCAGCUCGAUGGAAUUUUCUUUCAAGUCACCAAACAGAAGCCUGUAAGAAUUGCCUUUUAAACCUUGCUGUCUCAGGAAUUUCUCCAGCUUCUCGGGCCUCAGCCACACCCAGUUCAGCACUCUCCAUGCCCAUGUUAGCACCGUUACAAUAACAAUGGUCAAAGCUAUGGAUUUCAGAGGCAACUCCAUUUCACACUGACAGAUUUUGUGGGUUUAAAUUUGAAGAGACGAACGAGAAGAGUAUAUAUAGUCAUCAAGCGAAUGAGAAAAUCGUUUUCCUUUGCAUGUGUCUUUGAUUAGGUGUUUUCUGGAUCGAUGAUUUCAGAAUUUCCCCGGACAAAGACAUUGUCCCCAGUAAGCGGUGUUAACGAUACGUGUCAAGCUUGCAUGCGACUGUGAACUGUGGACUUUGUUCUAGAACUAGACUGUAUGGGAUCGAUUAAUUUUAAAAAAUAAACUAAAAUUCAUAUAGUAAGAAUUUUUAAGUAUAAAUGUUUGUAAAAUAAAAUCUAAACCUACAUUUGAAUGGCAA